rnacentral:rRNA from 1 species
GACGAACGCUGGCGGCGUGCUUAACACAUGCAAGUCGAACGGAAAGGCCCUGCUUUUGUGGGGUGCUCGAGUGGCGAACGGGUGAGUAACACGUGAGUAACCUGCCCUUGACUUUGGGAUAACUUCAGGAAACUGGGGCUAAUACCGGAUAGGAGCUCCUGCUGCAUGGUGGGGGUUGGAAAGUUUCGGCGGUUGGGGCUGGACUCGCGGCUUAUCAGCUUGUUGGUGGGGUAGUGGCUUACCAAGGCUUUGACGGGUAGCCGGCCUGAGAGGGUGACCGGCCACAUUGGGACUGAGAUACGGCCCAGACUCCUACGGGAGGCAGCAGUGGGGAAUAUUGCACAAUGGGCGGAAGCCUGAUGCAGCAACGCCGCGUGCGGGAUGACGGCCUUCGGGUUGUAAACCGAUGUCGCCUGUGACGAAGCGUGAGUGACGGUAAUGGGUAAAGAAGCACCGGCUAACUACGUG